rnacentral:rRNA from 1 species
UACGAAGGUGGCAAGCGUUGUUCGGAUUUACUGGGCGUACAGGGAGCGUAGGCGGUUGGAUAAGCCCUCCGUGAGAUCUCCAGGCUUAACCUGGAAAGUGCAGAGGGGACUGUUCAGCUAGAGGAUGGGAGAGGAGCGCGGAAUUCCCGGUGUAGCGGUGAAAUGCGUAGAGAUCGGGAGGAAGGCCGGUGGCGAAGGCGGCGCUCUGGAACAUUUCUGACGCUGAGGCUCGAAAGCGUGGGGAGCAAACAGGG